rnacentral:rRNA from 1 species
UACGUAGGGCGCAAGCGUUGUCCGGAAUUAUUGGGCGUAAAGAGCUCGUAGGCGGCUUGUCACGUCGGGUGUGAAAGCCCGGGGCUUAACCCCGGGUCUGCAUUCGAUACGGGCAGGCUAGAGUGUGGUAGGGGAGAUCGGAAGUUCCUGGUGUAGCGGUGAAAUGCGCAGAUAUCAGGAGGAACACCGGUGGCGAAGGCGGGUCUCUGGGCCGAUACUGACGCUGAGGAGCGAAAGCGUGGGGAGCGAACAGG